GAUGAACGCUGGCGGCGUGCCUAAUACAUGCAAGUCGAGCGAACAGACGAGGAGCUUGCUCCUCUGACGUUAGCGGCGGACGGGUGAGUAACAUGUGGAUAACCUACCUAUAAGACUGGGAUAACUUCGGGAAACCGGAGCUAAUACCGGAUAAUAUAUUGAACCGCAUGGUUCAAUAGUGAAAGACGGUUUUGCUGUCACUUAUAGAUGGAUCCGCGCCGCAUUAGCUAGUUGGUCAGGUAACGGCUUACCAAGGCAACGAUGCGUAGCCGACCUGAGAGGGUGAUCGGCCACACUGGAACUGAGACACGGUCCAGACUCCUACGGGAGGCAGCAGUAGGGAAUCGUCCGCAAUGGGCGAAAGCCUGACGGAGCAACGCCGCGUGAGUGAUGAAGGUCUUCGGAUCGUAAAAUUCUGUUAUUAGGGAAGAACAAAUGUGUGAGUAACUAUGCACGUCUUGACGGUACCUAAUCAGGAAGCCACGGCUAACUACGUG
rnacentral:rRNA from 1 species